UUCAAAGAGCCAAGGAGAUACCGCGUGCAUUUGUUUAUGAGUACGCUCUCGUCUUCGCGAAGGGACUGUAGUAUAUUAUGGUGAUGGUUCAUGCCGGUACAUGUUGCUGAAUGUACUGAAGUUGUUACGUUCGUAUAGGCGCCGUUGAAAGGGUAAAAGGCGAACCAUUGAUCGCCAUUGACUACUCAUCCUACUGAUCGAGUACUAUGAACGAUAUGAACGCCAUGAACCAAAUUAGUCUGCUUCUCACGGACAACCGCUGGAAACCGUGUUCACGGGACGGAGCUUACACCGCUUUCGUGCCGCUUACAGUGGCUUACAGUUAGUUGUGCUGGGUGGCUUUAGUGGCAUGGUUGGUUGCGUUAUGUGUAUUUGUGCACAUGCCAUCAGGUAAUUGAACAGUGGGAUGAUGGUUCAACAGAGUGAAGGUGCUUGUGACACUGAAAUUAAGGUUUUUUUGUGGAGCAUGAAGUUUUUGUGAAAAUGAAAUGUAAUGAAAUUUUAAAUCACACGUUACAUUACAUUUCAAUCGUUUGAAGUUAGACUGAAAACCAUGUGAACUGUGUUUCUUUACUGAUUUGUUGCUGUUGAAAAAUGCAGUGUUACAUAAAGAGGAACUUCUAUCUUGUAAGUAACAGUAUGAAUAAUUGACUGUGACAAAGACCUUGAAUUUGCAUAGUAAAUAUACCAAUACUCAACAUCAUUUCUGAUGUCUGUAAAGUUGUCACUACCAUUUAUAUUUUUUGUGUUCUUUCUUUUCAUAUUUCUUAUUAUUUCAACAUACCAGUAAACAAGACUCAUUUACAAUAUUAUUUUAAAAUAUUCUGAAAACAUAUUAUGUGUGACAUGAUUUAUACUUAUUUGUAUUUAAUUUUUAAACAUGUUCCACAUAAUGUAUAUCUUGUAAUUAAACACUGUAGCUUCAGAAAUUCAACAGAAUCACCAGUGGUAAAGCAAUCAUUGCUACUUGUGGAAGGAGAACAGUACUGUCACUUUAACUCAUGAUAAUUUAGUUACAGUAAUCUGAAUAUAACAUAAGUGAUCUGAUCAUGAUCAGCAGCACAAAAAAUAUAUUUUUCAAUACAUGUUACAGUGUGAUAAUUUAUUUCAUACAGUGAAGGUCCUACAUCAUAAACAGUAUUUAUGUUUAUAGCACUGUAUUCUUAUAAAAUGUUUCUUUAAUAUGUCUACAAUAAAGUAAUUAAGAUUUGUCUAGAACUGUACUGACUGCAAGAGUAUUACAGAAGAUCCUAUUUAUUAGAAGUUACAUUUUCCGUAAUUUAUUUAUCCUGCUGUUAAGUUUGAAGGCUAAGAACUUCAAAUUAUGUACAUGUUUCUCAAGAUAAAAAUUUAAUGAUGGUAAGCUCUGCAGACUGCACAUAAAAUUAUCUUCCUCCCUUACAACUCAAGAAUAUUGAAUAUGAGAUAUUAAACUUUGUGUUUUGGUUUCUUUGCUUCCGAUAAUGGUUUGUCCUUGAUAAGAAUAUGCUUUGGCAAAGAUGUAUAUUUCUGAAAUAAAAUUACUAAUGUGUGGCGAUUUCUAAAUCUUUUUUUUUUCCCCCAAAUUAUUUGGUGUACCUACAAACCGUUGCAAAAGAAUGACAAGCACAUCAAAACGGCAUUUCUUUGAAACUCAGUUCAUCUUAAUUUGAAAAGUAGAUAGUUGGAUGUACUGAUCUUUCUUUUGUCCACUUUUAAAAUAUUCCUUAACUUUAAAUUGCUUUCUUAACAGAGAAGACAGUUCUUUACAAUUCUUAUAAUAAUGUAUUAUUUUGAAAAAAAAAAUGGGUGUGUUCGUUUAUGGCACACUGAGAUGCUCAAGCAAGGAAAGUACAUUUGAGACAGCCUCAGAUCGACAGUCUGUUUUGAAUGUCAUUCUGCAUGGUGUUGAAAAGUCAAAUUAUUCCUUUCUCAAACAAUUCAGUGUAACAUAGACAAACAGGAGCCCAUCUGCAUUUGGCAAUUGCCCGCACAUACAUUAAAAUGAGUGGGCGUUAAUCAGCCUUAUGAGCACAGUUAGAUGACGAAUGCCAUGUAGAAAGUAUUGGACUUCAGGCCACAUGGUUGUACACUGACCUCUCCCACCAUUGCUCCCCGAGUGAUCAGUGUCAUUUUGAAAUAGUGCAAGGUAAAUCAAGACUUACACAUCAUCUACCAUGCCAGAAGUCUUUGUACUCUUUAAGAGCAACAUGAUGUAUGGAUUUCACUCCCUACUCGAGAAACAAGUGACCAAGGUAUAAAUAUUCUGAGAUGAGACAAAAUACUUUAAAUUUAACUAGUUUUAUAUGAAUCGUUUCAGCUUAACAGAAGGUAGGAUGAUUGUAUGUCUGUAUACUGUUUGUAGAAUGUUUAAACCUUUAUAUGUACACCAUGUAAUUUUAUAUUGAAAUUAUAUUUUCAGGUGUGAUUCACUUGAUUGCAUCUGUAAAAAUAUUGGGGAGAAAUGAGUACUCUAUAACUGCAUUGAAGAUAGAUAUUAGUGAGUUUUGAGUAUUUAAGUAGUAAGUAGUAUUUUGGAAAUUGAAAUUACUUUUGAAGUAUUUAAUUGAAAUUCUAGAAUGCUGACAGCAAUUUUUAACAAAAUGCCAUUUGAUUUCCCAAAAAAUAUUUCCUCAGCAUUUGAAUUUAGUUAUUUAUCAUUAUUGGCAGAGGUUGGUGAGCUGUACAUAAGGUAGAGAAACCUUAGGGCAAUAUAUUAACACAUUUCAAUUCUUAAAUUACUCUGAUCUCCAUAGAUGUGAUUGAUAUCUUACAUUUGUUGAAACAGAACAAUUUUGUUAGAAAUACCGGUACCACAUUUGUUUUCAAAUUAAUAAAUAUAAAAUUCUGUUAUAGAGUAUGUAUAUUACAGAACCAUGUUCAGAUGAUUUUAUUUCUCACAUGUGCAUUGAUAUGUGCUGAAUUAAUAGAACAACUCUUGGUCAUUCAGCUUGCUUCUUCUCGAAUUCAAAAACUUCGUUAUGGGAUGAGUGUUGUAAAGUCUUAAUUGAAACACAAAACCAAGGCUAUAAGCAUAUUGAAAAUGAGAAUCCCAUUCAGACUUGCGCUGUGUGGAAGCAAUGUGGGAAAAGUGACCAUAAAACAGUGCACGUAAUAUUUUGUGAUGUAGUAGACAAGAAAAUGAUGCACAGCAGCAGCCUCAGAUCACUAAAUGUUCCCACAAAUAUUCAAGACGAUUGAUAGAAUUUUUUUUUUAAUCUGUGAGCUGGGGGAAAUCAUGGUUCAUCAAAGACAGGUUAAUAAAAUUCAUUCCAGAAAACACAGUAUGGUUACAAUCUCAAAGCAUUGCUGUUUUACCUUUCAGGUUCUGUUAACUGUCCACUGUCUUGAAAAAUGGCAUUUGCAUCAGUCUGCAGUGUGCAUGCUCUUCUGCACUUACUGCAGUGUGAUCAGAAGUAUCUUGUGUAACAAGCAGUACCAGAUUUAAAUGCAACUAAAUGAAUGAGAUGAGGAAUACUUUGAGUUCAUAACCUACAAACAAACACGUGCUCAUUCCACUUCCAUACAAGGUAUUCCAAACUAGCAGUUCACCCUAACAACACUGCUUAAAUUUGCAUUCAUUCUUGACAUUCAGCUUUGUAACAUUUUUCACAAUGAUUCUCUUAAUGACAAGAUGGAUUUUACACAAAUUAAAGCAGUGCUGUUCCUAAGUCUUGGCUGCAGUUAAAACAAAGAGAGGACAGAUUGUCAUCCAAGAAGUUUAUCCAGCAUUCCACAUGGUUCAAUAUUCAUACAAGCCGUGCGGUAGUUGAUUAGCACUAAUUGAGGCUAGAGGAGUCUUGAUGAUCAUGUGCACAGAAGAAAAAGUUGGUGGACUAAUGGAAGAUGCAAGUUAUCAGGCAUUCCAACUAAUGUUUUAGUACAUUGUUCAUGUCAUCCAACACAAAAUAUUAGUGAAAGAGAGAGAGAGAGAAGGAAUACACAAGAAAGCCAUUACUAAGUGCUACUACCUGAAAAUCAAAUUUAUGAUACAGUUUAAAGUGACAUGGUAUAAUUUGUCAUUCAUUUAGUGUACAGCUUUUAUUUACUGCAGAAAUACACAUCAGACAUCUUCAGAAGCAUGGAUUUCUUUUGUGUGUUUAUAUACAAAUAUUUUGGCAUCAGUUUUCUCUUCAGCGAAAAUUAAGCUUUUGUUGAAAUCAGUUGUGUUAAAGGGAAUUUUGCUACUUGCUGUACAUAACCAAAAGAACCACCACCUGUUGUAAAGAAAGCCUUGAAGUGCAUUGUAACAGUUUGUAAGUCAAAAUAUAUAUAUAGAAUUUACUUAAAUGUCAAUAUAUAACUGCAUUCUCCUUAUAAAUAAGGAUUAGUAACCUACAUGCAAUUCCUGUUCUUUUUAAUAAUUUGAGCAUUUUAAGUAAUUCUUCAAUGUUUAUGCAAAAGGAAUGCAACUGUUAAAUGUCUAAAAGUUUUUUUUUAACCUGGUAAACCUCCAUUAACAAAGAUCACAUAAAAAUGUAGCAUCAUUUAUAAUUUAAUAAUAUUUACAAAGAGCUUCCAUAAAAUGUAAUUCCUUGUUUGACAAAGACUGAUUUUUGUGUACUUGCAUUAAUGCAGUAGCAGUAAUUCUAAUAUUGUUGUGAUUUUCUGCUGUAUACCACUGUAUGUUGAAAGUUUGUUAUUAUGACUUAUUUGGAAACUUCCAACUUUUAUAGAGAGAACUCCUCAAUUGUUAGUAUAGAGGGGAAAAAAUUGUUAAGCUGAAACUUGCAGUGCAUUGGUCAUUAAAAUUUGAUUUUGAUAUGUAGGAGUAAUUUUAUCAUGAAAGGGAAAUUUAAUUUUUUUUUUUUUCCUGUUUUCAUAUCGGAUUGUGUGAGAUUUAUAUGCAUUCUGUUAGAUAAAUGUAUGGCUGUGCAGUUUUGGGAAGUGAACAGAUGUGGUUCUUAUCAUGCGGUAAUGUUUUGUAUAAUGGACAAGAGACCAUGUCUAAUCUACAUUUGACUACCAACCUCACAGUGAAACCUUGUUAUGUUCUGCUUGAUAUUGUGAUCUCUUUUAAUGGUACAAGAAUUGACCUUCAUUACCCUUUCCAAAAUUGUAUACCAUUACAGCAAUAACUAUUAACAUUUCAGAAAUUGAAUUUCUUCUUUAAAUAUAUUAUUUUAUAAUUAAACACUUUUUUCUAACUUAUAUAAACAGAAUUUACAUUAAAUAUGUAAGACUGCUUUUUUUCCCCCCUGAUUUCUCUGCCAGUCUUCCAGAAAUUCACAUGGUUAUACUUUUCACUUUCUGCUGUAGUAAAGCCAAACUUCAGAUUAACAAUGAUUCAGAGGUCAUAGCUGCCCUAUUCUUUGCAGAAAAUGUACUUCAGUAAAUACUACCAUUUAAUUUCCUCGAGUAAUAUUUGUUUCAGCUCAUGGUACAAUAUUUAGAAUACAGCUUACAAAGAAAUUAUGGUGUAUAUAAUUUCUUAAUAUUUUUUAAUCUGGACAUUUUGGUAACAAGGUUUUACUGUCCAGAAAACACUUAAAUCCUUAAUAUAAUGCCAUUAUAACAAGCCAAUAUGUAUGAAGUUUUCCUUUAUAGCAAGCUAAUGGCAAUAAUGUAUAACUAUCACAGUCCUAUUGCUCAUCAUUCUAGGUAGCGUGCAUUUAUUUUUCCAGAAAGUGUUGUUACCAAGUUUGUAUAUAAUGCAUUUCCCAGAAAACACCCUGAGCAGUUUCUAGUAUUAAGUGAGCUCAAGUAGAUGUACUGAUAUUAUUUAAAGGCAAAAAGACAGUGUUUACGUUUCUGUUAGUAAGUUACAGAACCAUGCUACUACUGAGCAGAAACUGUCAAAUCAAGAGUUAA